GACGAACGCUGGCGGCGUGCUUAACACAUGCAAGUCGAACGGAAAGGCCCUGCUUUUGUGGGGUGCUCGAGUGGCGAACGGGUGAGUAACACGUGAGUAACCUGCCCUUGACUUUGGGAUAACUUCAGGAAACUGGGGCUAAUACCGGAUAGGAGCUCCUGCUGCAUGGUGGGGGUUGGAAAGUUUCGGCGGUUGGGGAUGGACUCGCGGCUUAUCAGCUUGUUGGUGGGGUAGGGGCUUACCAAGGCUUUGACGGGUAGCCGGCCUGAGAGGGUGACCGGCCACAUUGGGACUGCGAUACGGCCCAGACUCCUACGGGAGGCAGCAGUGGGGAAUAUUGCACAAUGGGCGGAAGCCUGAUGCAGCAACGCCGCGUGCGGGAUGACGGCCUUCGGGUUGUAAACCGCUUUCGCCUGUGACGAAGCGUGAGUGACGGUAAUGGGUAAAGAAGCACCGGCUAACUACGUG
rnacentral:rRNA from 1 species